rnacentral:rRNA from 1 species
GAACCUGAAACCGUGUACGUACAAGCAGUAGGAGCACCUUCGUGGUGUGACUGCGUACCUUUUGUAUAAUGGGUCAGCGACUUAUAUUCAGUGGCAAGGUUAACCAUCUAGGGGAGCCGUAGGGAAACCGAGUCUUAACUGGGCGUUCAGUCUCUGGAUAUAGACCCGAAACCAGGUGAUCUAGCCAUGGGCAGGUUGAAGGUUGAGUAACAUCAACUGGAGGACCGAACCGACUAAUGUUGAAAAAUUAGCGGAUGACUUGUGGCUAGGGGUGAAAGGCCAAUCAAACCUGGAGAUAGCUGGUUCUCCCCGAAAGCUAUUUAGGUAGCGCCUCGGACGAAUACUACUGGGGGUAGAGCACUGUUAAGGCUAGGGGGUCAUCCCGACUUACCAACCCUUUGCAAACUCCGAAUACCAGUAAGUACUAUCCGGGAGACACACGGCGGGUGCUAACGUCCGUCGUGGAGAGGGAAACAACCCAGACCGCCAGCUAAGGUCCCAAAUUACUACUAAGUGGGAAACGAUGUGGGAAGGCUCAGACAGCCAGGAUGUUGGCUUAGAAGCAGCCAUCAUUUAAAGAAAGCGUAAUAGCUCACUGGUCGAGUCGGCCUGCGCGGAAGAUGUAACGGGGCUAAGUAGUAAACCGAAGCUGCGGCAAUAUACUUUUGUAUAUUGGGUAGGGGAGCGUUCUGUAAGCGGUUGAAGGUGUGUGGUAACGCAUGCUGGACGUAUCAGAAGUGCGAAUGCUGACAUGAGUAACGAUAAAGGGGGUGAAAAACCUCCUCGCCGGAAGACCAAGGGUUCCUGUCCAACGUUAAUCGGGGCAGGGUAAGUCGACCCCUAAGGCGAGGCCGAAAGGCGUAGUCGAUGGGAAACGGGUUAAUAUUCCCGUACUUCUUACAAUUGCGAUGGGGGGACGGAGAAGGCUAGGUGGGCCUGGCGACGGUUGUCCAGGUUCAAGUGCGUAGGCUUAAGAGUUAGGUAAAUCCGGCUCUUUUUAAGGCUGAGACACGACGUCGAGCACCUACGGGUGUGAAGUCAUUGAUGCCAUGCUUCCAGGAAAAGCCUCUAAGCUUCAGAUUGUAAGGAAUCGUACCCCAAACCGACACAGGUGGUCGGGUAGAGAAUACCAAGGCGCUUGAGAGAACUCGGGUGAAGGAACUAGGCAAAAUGGUACCGUAACUUCGGGAGAAGGUACGCUCUUGAUGGUGAAGUCCCUUGCGGAUGGAGCUGACGAGAGUCGCAGAUACCAGGUGGCUGCAACUGUUUAUUAAAAACACAGCACUGUGCAAAAUCGUAAGAUGACGUAUACGGUGUGACGCCUGCCCGGUGCCGGAAGGUUAAUUGAUGGGGUUAGACUUCGGUCGAAGCUCUUGAUCGAAGCCCCGGUAAACGGCGGCCGUAACUAUAACGGUCCUAAGGUAGCGAAAUUCCUUGUCGGGUAAGUUCCGACCUGCACGAAUGGCGUAAUGAUGGCCACGCUGUCUCCACCCGAGACUCAGUGAAAUUGAAAUCGCUGUGAAGAUGCAGUGUACCCGCGGCUAGACGGAAAGACCCCGUGAACCUUUACUACAGCUUGGCACUGAACAUUGACCCUACAUGUGUAGGAUAGGUGGGAGGCUUUGAAGCACGUACGCCAGUAUGUGUGGAGCCGUCCUUGAAAUACCACCCUUGUAGUGUUGAUGUUCUAACGUGACCCCUUAUCGGGGUUGCGGACAGUGCCUGGUGGGUAGUUUGACUGGGGCGGUCUCCUCCCAAAGAGUAACGGAGGAGCACGAAGGUGGGCUAAUCACGGUUGGACAUCGUGAGGUUAGUGCAAUGGCAUAAGCCCGCUUGACUGCGAGAAUGACAAUUCGAGCAGGUGCGAAAGCAGGUCAUAGUGAUCCGGUGGUUCUGAAUGGAAGGGCCAUCGCUCAACGGAUAAAAGGUACUCCGGGGAUAACAGGCUGAUACCGCCCAAGAGUUCAUAUCGACGGCGGUGUUUGGCACCUCGAUGUCGGCUCAUCACAUCCUGGGGCUGAAGUCGGUCCCAAGGGUAUGGCUGUUCGCCAUUUAAAGUGGUACGCGAGCUGGGUUUAGAACGUCGUGAGACAGUUCGGUCCCUAUCUGCCGUGGGCGUUGGAAGAUUGAAGGGGGCUGCUCCUAGUACGAGAGGACCGGAGUGGACGAACCUCUGGUGUUCGGGUUGUGUCGCCAGACGCAUUGCCCGGUAGCUAAGUUCGGAAUCGAUAACCGCUGAAAGCAUCUAAGCGGGAAGCGAGCCCUGAGAUGAGUCUUCCCUGAUACUUUAAGUAUCCUAAAGGGUUGUCGGAGACUACGACGUUGAUAGGUCAGGUGUGUAAGUGCUGUGAGGCAUUGAGCUAACUGAUACUAAUUGCCCGUGAGGCUUAACCAUACAACACCCAAGGGGUUU